rnacentral:rRNA from 1 species
GCCCUGAGAGAUGAUCAGGUAGAUAGGUUAGAAGUGGAAGUGUGGCGACACAUGUAGCGGACUAAUACUAAUAGCUCGAGGACUUAUCCAA